rnacentral:rRNA from 1 species
UACGAGGGGGGUGAGCGUUGUUCGGAAUUAUUGGGCGUAAAGGGCGCGUGGGCGGUGUGUCAAGUCAGGCGUGAAAGCCCCGGGCUCAACCUGGGAACAGCGCUUGAGACUGGCACGCUCGAGUUCGGGAGAGGAUGGUGGAAUUCCCAGUGUAGAGGUGAAAUUCGUAGAUAUUGGGAAGAACACCGAUGGCGAAGGCAGCCAUCUGGACCGACACUGACGCUGAGGCGCGAAAGCGUGGGGAGCAAACAGG